rnacentral:tRNA from 1 species
UCCCUGGUGGUUGAGUCGCUAAGACUCUAUGCUCCUGAUGCAGAGAGCCCAGGUUCGAUCCCUGAUCAGGGGA